rnacentral:lncRNA from 1 species
GUGAAUAUACUGACUGAAUUGGACAACGUAGUACCGACGCUGCGGCAAGAAUGGUCCAUGCGGACGAAAAUGCUCUAUUUUUUGCGGCAGCCUUACAAGCUUCAUCAUAUGAUGGUGAGACAAGUUCUAGUCUAUUGUGCUUAGAUGUAUCAUAAAUAGAUUAUUUGACACCAUCUCUAUACAAGUCAAAACUCUCAGUCUUGUUGCAAGACUUUCAUUGCCACACAUGUCCACUGACAAAGAAUUGAAGAGACAAUUGCCAUUUGU